GAUGAAGAACGUAGCGAAAUGCGAUAAGUAAUGUGAAUUGCAGAAUUCAGUGAAUCAUCGAAUCUUUGAACGCACAUUGCGCCCGCCAGUAUUCUGGCGGGCAUGCCUGUCUGAGCGUCGUUUCGACCCUCGCGCCCGGCUUCUGUCGGGGGCGGUGUUGGGGAUCGGCCACACCCUUCAGUGGGAGGCCGGCCCCUAAAUUCAGUGGCGACCACGCUGUAGCCUCCCCUGCGUAGUACUAAAACCACCUCGCAGGCGGAGAGCGGUGCGGCCCGCCGUAAAACCCCCCAACUUUUACAAGGUCGACCUCAGAUCAGGUAGGAAUACCCGCUGAACUUAAGCAUAUCAAUAAGCGGAGGU
rnacentral:misc_RNA from 1 species